CCACCCGGGGCUCCAGGCGCGCCACCCGGGGCUCCAGGUGCCGCAGCACCAGAGGUUCAACAGACGAAAGAAGAAUUGUUAUUUUAUGCCCCGGAGUACACGUGUUUGACCGUCGUGGCCUUUAUUUUAUUCCCUCCCCUGGGAAUACCAGCUCUCGUAUUCAGCGGAAAGACCAAAGAGGCCAACAAGAAAAGCCAAUGGGAAGAAGCUUAUAUCAACUCGGGCCGAACUGGUUGGCUGGAUGUAUUCGCCAUACUCAUCGGUUUAGGCAUCAUUUAUUUCUUAGUACUAUUUGUCUGAAGUCCAGGCCCAACAGCCAAUUGGUUCACCCACCCCAACAGGACCAGCUCACCAAAACACUGACCAGCCAAAUCAGCCACCAUGCAAGAAACCAACAGCUGGAUAUUCCCUAGCCAGAAAACCUACCAGCCAAGGAGCUCAACAUUCAAGCAACCCACUAGCCCAGGAAAACAUUAUGCUCUUGGCCUCCAGCUCUGUCGUUAUCCAUCUUGGGGAUCUUCACUUUGAUGCUCUAGAUGCCUUAAGCUCCUUGGUACUGGGCUGCUCUUUCAGGAAAAUAUUUAUUUAAACCAAUAAAAUCUAAGGGUAUGUUCCAGCUUC